UACAGAGGGUGCGAGCGUUAAUCGGAAUUACUGGGCGUAAAGCGUGCGUAGACGGCUAUCUAAGUCGGGUGUGAAAGCCCCGGGCUCAACCUGGGAAUUGCAUUCGAGACUGAAUAGCUAGGGUACGGUAGAGGGAAGUGGAAUUUCCGGUGUAGCGGUGAAAUGCGUUGAUAUCCUAAGGAACACCGGUGGCGAAGGCGGCUUACUGGGUCUCUACUGACGCUGAGGCACGAAAGCCAGGGUAGCAAACGGG
rnacentral:rRNA from 1 species